rnacentral:rRNA from 1 species
UACGUAGGGGGCAAGCGUUGUCCGGAAUCAUUGGGCGUAAAGAGCGCGUAGGCGGCCCAGUAAGUCCGCUCUGAAAGUCAGGGGCUCAACCCCUGGAUGCGGGUGGAUACUGCUGGGCUAGAGUCCGGAAGAGGUGAGUGGAAUUCCUGGUGUAGCGGUGAAAUGCGUAGAUAUCAGGAGGAACACCGGUGGCGAAGGCGGCUCUCUGGACGGUGACUGACGCUGAGACGCGAAAGCGUGGGGAGCAAACAGG